CGGGAUGUAGCGCAGUUGGUAGCGUGCUUCGUUCGGGACGAAGAGGCCGCUGGUUCGAGUCCAGUCAUCCCGAC
rnacentral:tRNA from 1 species